AGGUGGUAUCUCUUUGAAGAACAAGGGAAAGCCUAGGAGAGGCUGAAAUGCGAGGAAAGCUGAGAAACAUGACAGGAGACAUUAGUCCGUUCUUGGAGGGGCCUGGGAGAGAGGAAUCAUCCUGGCCCUGGGCCUGUGGGAGCAUCAGAAGCCAAGGGGCACAGAGUGAGGCUCAAGGGAUGUGUGCAGUCUGGAAAGUAAAGGCUCCUUCAUAUUUUAGGAUGACAUUCUCUUACCUCAAUCAUUGUGAAGCCUAAUUCCAAAAACACUCCGACUCUGGUGGAAUUAACUCCCUGAAAGACACAGAGCCUGUGAAGCAGCCUGAUAGAGAUUCAGGCCCCAAUGCCUGCAGUGGAGAGAGGGGUGGUGCUGGAAGGAGAGACUUGGGGGAAAACCUGAAAGGAGGGCCGAGAAGGGUUCAGAGAGUGCACCAUGGGGACUCGCAAAAGGACAAAGAAAAGCAGGCCCCCAGCUUGACACUUGGAAGUAGAGGUGGAAUCUUCCAUCCUGGUAUCCAGGCUCUUCCUGUGGAUUUGCUUCCUGCUCCGGAUUCCAGUGGGCAUCCUGUGUCCCAUAAACUGUCAAAGGCCGUGUCCAGGGGAGGCUAGAAGGGAGAAUUUCACAACUAGCAGAGUCUGCCUUUGAUGUUGCCACUUGGGCCCCGGAGCUCCCCCUCUACCAAUCAACCAUUUGGGAAGUAAAGGGGCCUUUCCCCUCCCAGCUCCAUGGGGGAGGGAGGGCUGCUAGGCCUAGCUCAGAAGUGGCCUUGAUUUCCUGUUGGGUGCAGUGAGGGCACAGCUGCAGGGCCAGACUGAGGCCACAUCACAGGCACAGACCCAGGCCUGAGCCCGGGCCCAGGCUAAGAGGGAAUGAGGGUGUGGGUGGCUGGAUCCCUUGCUCAGCCACAUACACACCUAUGAUGCAACCACGCCCCUGGGAGCUGCACUCUCCAGAGCAAAGGCAUCAAGUCUGCUUACUCUGAGAACUGGGUCACCUCUGCAUCUUUCCUGGGCAGGAUUCCAGGCCCAGCCAGCCACACUGUCACCUGGGAAGGAAGAGGGGAGCAAGGUGGACAGAGAGGGAAAAUGUUGGAGGUAGACAACACAGAUCUACUGGGUGAGCCUCUCUUCCCCUGCUGUGAGUGAAGCAAAUGCAUGUGCUAGCAGGCUGGCCAGCCCAGUGCCCAUCUGUGCACACUUGAUCUGGCACACGUGAGCUGUGAUGACCCUCUUACCCUGGUGUGGCUGCCAGCUCAGGCAGGGUCCACUGAGGCCCCUGGCCCUGCCCUGCCUGGGAGGCCCUGCCCUCCAUCCAGAGAGGAGGGAACAAGAAGAAGAGGGAAAAUGUGUGUAAAUUUCCCAUCCGGUUUCGGGAGCCCCCUCCCCCUUCUGUCUCUGGAACGCAGAGAUAGGCAGUCAUGGGGUCCCUUUGAGGUCUGCAGCAGGCUUGCCCACUACAAGAUGUACCCCCUGACUCUAGCCACCUUGAGGCAGCCCCUGUCUGCAACCAGCUCAAGGAUGUUUGCCAAACAUUGUAACCAGUGUCCCGCCACAUGCCCCUGAACAGAGAAUCGUACUGUGAGACCUUUUCCCGGAUUUUGCAACCCAAGUGCACACGCCCACACCCACUCUCACACCUCCAACCAAGCAUUUCCAAGAAGAAUGCUGUCCACAGAGUAAAGCCAUCUGAGGACCUCUUUGCUCUUCUGUUUCAUUUCUGAAAUUCCUACCUAGUGACCUAGAAUAUCUAGUCGGAACAGUGGCAUAUUGGCCCUAGCUUCUCAUUGAGAGGUGAUCCUUGAAUGGCCAAAUAGCCUGUUGCUUGGCACAAGUGACUUAUUGUCUAGCUGGUUUCAGCCGAUCGCUUCGGGAAUACCUUGAAGAUACUGCAGGUUUGGUUUCAGACUUUUGCAACAAAGUGAAUAUUGCAACAAGGCAAGUCGCACAAAUUUUUUGGUUUCCCAGUGUAUAUAAAAAUUAUGUUUCCACUAUACUGCAGUCUAUUAAGUAUGCAAUAGCAUUGUGUCUAAAAAGUAAUGUACAUACCUUAUUUUAAAAAUACUCUAGGCUCACACAGGCACCUCUUGUUUGUGUGGCCCACUGUUCUCUGUUGUCUAUGGUAGCGUAACCUAAUAAAUUCCUUUUCUAUUCUCAAAACAAAACAAAACACACAACUCUAUUGCUCCUCAUCUGAGCCUUCAGCAAGUCCUAAUCUUUUUGCAAUAGUUAACAUUAAAAAAUCACAGAUGACCAAAACAAAUAUAAUUUUAAAAAUGAAAAAAAAUUGAAAUACUACUAGAAUUACCAAAAUGUAACACAGAAACACAAAGUAAGCAGAGUUCCCUGGAAAAAUGACACCAAUAACUUGUUCAAUGAAAGGUUGCUGCAAACCUUCAACUAGUAAAAAAUGCAGUAUCUGUGAAAUGCAAUAAAGCGUAGCAGAGUGAAACAA